CCUACGGGUGGCAGCAGUGGGGAAUAUUGGACAAUGGGCGAAAGCCUGAUCCAGCCAUGCCGCGUGUGUGAAGAAGGCCUUCGGGUUGUAAAGCACUUUCAGUGGGGAAGAAAGCCUUGGGGCUAAUACCCUCGAGGAAGGACAUCACCCACAGAAGAAGCACCGGCUAACUCCGUGCCAGCAGCCGCGGUAAUACGGAGGGUGCGAGCGUUAAUCGGAAUUACUGGGCGUAAAGCGCGCGUAGGCGGUCUGAUAAGCUGGUUGUGAAAGCCCCGGGCUCAACCUGGGAACGGCAUCCGGAACUGUCAGGCUAGAGUGCAGGAGAGGAAGGUAGAAUUCCCGGUGUAGCGGUGAAAUGCGUAGAGAUCGGGAGGAAUACCAGUGGCGAAGGCGGCCUUCUGGACUGACACUGACGCUGAGGUGCGAAAGCGUGGGUAGCAAACAGGAUUAGAUACCCGAGUAGUC
rnacentral:rRNA from 1 species